UCAGGAUGAACGCUGGCGGCGUAGCCUAACACAUGCAAGUCGAACGGAGAUUAACGCUGACGAGACUUCGGUCAAAUCUUGUUAAAUCUUAGUGGCGGACGGGUGAGUAACGCGUGGGCAACCUGCCUCAUACCGGGGGAUAGCAGUUGGAAACGACUGAUAAUACCGCAUAAGCGCACGAGAUCGCAUGAUCUAGUGUGAAAAACUCCGGUGGUAUGAGAUGGGCCCGCGUCAGAUUAGCUAGUUGGUAAGGUAACGGCUUACCAAGGCGACGAUCUGUAGCCGGACUGAGAGGUCGGACGGCCACAUUGGGACUGAGACACGGCCCAAACUCCUACGGGAGGCAGCAGUGGGGGAUAUUGCACAAUGGAGGAAACUCUGAUGCAGCGACGCCGCCGUGAGUGAAGAAGUAUUUCGGUAUGUAAAGCUCUAUCAGCAGGGAAGAAAGGCUCGUAAGAGAGAUGACGGUACCUGACUAAGAAGCCCCGGCUAACUACGUGCCAGCCGCCGC
rnacentral:rRNA from 1 species